UACGUAGGGUCCGAGCGUUGUCCGGAAUUACUGGGCGUAAAGAGCUCGUAGGUGGUUUGUCGCGUUGUUCGUGAAAACUCACAGCUCAACUGUGGGCGUGCGGGCGAUACGGGCAGACUAGAGUACUGCAGGGGAGACUGGAAUUCCUGGUGUAGCGGUGGAAUGCGCAGAUAUCAGGAGGAACACCGGUGGCGAAGGCGGGUCUCUGGGCAGUAACUGACGCUGAGGAGCGAAAGCGUGGGUAGCAAACGGG
rnacentral:rRNA from 1 species